rnacentral:misc_RNA from 1 species
AAGAGUAACUUGGGAAGAUGUGCUGGCACUGCAGGUGCACUCUUCUCAACUAUUCAUCCAAACCCCUGUGCACCUUUUUAAUGAUGCGAAUAGUCGAAAGACUUUCGUGUCUAUUAUAACAUAACCCUAUGAUUAUACUAUUAUUGACGAAUGUAACAAGUUGUAAAUUUAAUA